UACUUGGUUGAUCCUGCCAAGGAAGCACACUUAGGUCAUAGAUUAAGCCAUGCAAGUGUUAGUUCAGGUAACGAAACUGCGAAUAGCUCAUUAAUACGCUCAGAAUCUAUUUGGCGGCGACCAACAGGUCUUAAAUGGAUAGCAGCAGCAACUCUGGUGCUAAUACAUGCGAUUGUUUCUCCAGAUGUGAAUUAUGGAGGAAAAGUUGACCUCAUCAGAGGCACGCCAUUCGACUGAGUGACCUAUCAGCUUG
rnacentral:ncRNA from 1 species